UUACGGGGCGCAGCAGUGGGGAAUAUUGCACAAUGGGCGCAAGCCUGAUGCAGCCAUGCCGCGUGUAUGAAGAAGGCCUUCGGGUUGUAAAGUACUUUCAGCGGGGAGGAAGGGAGUAAAGUUAAUACCUUUGCUCAUUGACGUUACCCGCAGAAGAAGCACCGGCUAACUCCGUGCCAGCAGCCGCGGUAAUACGGAGGGUGCAAGCGUUAAUCGGAAUUACUGGGCGUAAAGCGCACGCAGGCGGUUUGUUAAGUCAGAUGUGAAAUCCCCGGGCUCAACCUGGGAACUGCAUCUGAUACUGGCAAGCUUGAGUCUCGUAGAGGGGGGUAGAAUUCCAGGUGUAGCGGUGAUAUGCGUAGAGAUCUGGAGGAAUACCGGUGGCGAAGGCGGCCCCCUGGACGAAGACUGACGCUCAGGUGCGAAAGCGUGGGGAGCUAACAGGAUUAGAUACCCCGGUAGUC
rnacentral:rRNA from 1 species